AUAGAAUACUCUCUGUGCUGCCCUCUUGAAUAAUGCCCCAAGAAUGCAUGCCUUUCGUGAUCAUUCUGUGAAAUAUUGCUGAGUAUAGGAACGAGUGAAUUGUAGAUGGAUAAAUAUCUAAACAAACUUCGGUCAUGCUGCAAGCCUAGUGGAAUGCCUGAUUCUUCUGGGUAUAGCUCAAGGAACACUCACCGUAGAAUGGAAGUCAUUUAGCAGGAAAGCAGUGGUCUGCUCUUCUCUGAGCACCAUUGACCACUUAUUGGAUUGUGGAAGAGACCUAACUCAAAUUUGGACCAAGAAGUGACUUGAAAUCAAGAUCUCUCCCCAGAAGAGAACAAUGAAUAGAUCUGUGGUUGGCUGAAUGCACCAAUGUGGAACCUGUGGAUACAAAGAACCAACUGUGUAAGAUCCCCAAGAUAUUAUAAUCCUUUUGAAGAAGUGUCAACUGUGAGCAUCACAAUAGCCUUCACUGGAGCAAAGGAUAAAUUUUUUUCUCUGUGCUUGC